rfam:Rhodobacter capsulatus SB 1003, complete genome.
GGUUCGGGAGCCUUCCGGUGGGACGGAAGGCAGGUAUGGAACCGCCUCCCAUUCGCAAGCGGCGUGCAUCGGGCCCCGACGAUGCACA